AUCUAGGUUACUAUAAUCAUGAUAUCACAUUUUAUACCGUAUCCCUAGUGGCUGGUGAAAAAGGUGAGUGGCUGGUAGAUUUUGGAAUCCACCAGCCACAGUGGCAGGUGGACAAAAUAUUUAAUUUCCAUAUCUGAACCACGCACACACACACAG